GAUGAACGCUGGCGGCGUGCCUAACACAUGCAAGUCGAGCGAACCUUCGGGGUGAGCGGCGGACGGGUGAGUAACGCGUGGGUAACCUGCCCUAUACACACGGAUAACGUACCGAAAGGUACGCUAAUACGGGAUAAUAUUGUUGGAUGGCAUCUUCUAACAAUCAAAGCUCCGGCGGUAUAGGAUGGGCCCGCGUCUGAUUAGCUAGUUGGUGAAGUAAUGGCUCACCAAGGCGACGAUCAGUAGCCGACCUGAGAGGGUGGUCGGCCACACUGGAACUGAGACACGGUCCAGACUCCUACGGGAGGCAGCAGUGGGGAAUAUUGCACAAUGGGCGAAAGCCUGAUGCAGCAACGCCGCGUGAGCGAUGAAGGUCUUCGGAUCGUAAAGCUCUGUCCUCAAGGAAGAUAAUGACGGUACUUGAGGAGGAAGCCCCGGCUAACUACGUGCCAGCAGCCGCAGUAACAC
rnacentral:rRNA from 1 species